rnacentral:rRNA from 1 species
GACGAACGCUGGCGGCGUGCCUAACACAUGCAAGUCGAGCGAAGAAUACAUAAAGAAAUCUUCGGAUGGAAUUAUGUAUUUCUUAGCGGCGGACGGGUGAGUAACGCGUGAGGAACCUGCCUUGUACUAGGGGAUAGCCUCGGGAAACCGGGAUUAAUACCCUAUGAUACUUGAAAGUCGCAUGACUUUCAAGUCAAAGCGAUUUAGCGGUACAAGAUGGCCUCGCGUCCCAUUAGCUAGUUGGCGAGGUAAUAGCUCACCAAGGCGACGAUGGGUAGCCGGCCUGAGAGGGUGAACGGCCACACUGGAACUGAGACACGGUCCAGACUCCUACGGGAGGCAGCAGUGGGGAAUAUUGCACAAUGGAGGAAACUCUGAUGCAGCGACGCCGCGUGAGCGAUGAAGGUUUUCGAAUCGUAAAGCUCUGUCCUAAGGGACGAUAAUGACGGUACCUUAGGAGGAAGCCCGGCUAACUACGUGCCAGCAGCCGCGGUAAAAGUCACG